rnacentral:rRNA from 1 species
AAACCAGCACCUCAAGUGGUCAGGAGGAUUAUUGGGCCUAAAGCAUCCGUAGCCUGUUCUAUAAGUUUCCGGUUAAAUCCACUAGCUCAACUAAUGGGCUGCCGAAAAUACUGUAGAACUAGGGAGUGGGAGAGGUAGACGGUAUUCGGUAGGAAGGGGUAAAAUCCUUUGAUCUAUUGAGGACCACCUGUGGCGAAGGCGGUCUACCAGAACACGUUCGACGGUGAGGGAUGAAAGCUGGGGGAGCAAACCGGAUUAGAAACCCCAGUAGUCC